UCCACGUGUUAAACGUUGUAAGCCUAAUCUCAAUAAGCAUCACUACUAAUUUUAUUAAAACAAUUCAUACAUCACUAAAACUAGCAAUAUUAAUUAUAUCAGUGUAGUGACCCGUGCGUUACGGCGGAUAGAUAUUGGUAAAGUGAAAAUUUGUAAAGAAUAAAAUAUAUAUCAGUUUAGUAUAAAAAAUAGUAAAUAUAGUGUACAUUAUAUACAAAUAAUUUUUAAAAAAAAACUAUAAUGAAAAAAAAUUUAAUCCUUUCAACAAAACUAUUCAAUCUUAUUCAAGAAAAGUCACAUAUCUUGCAAAUGGAUGAUUAAAAUUAUUUUUAUAAUAUAAUAGUCAAAUGAGGAAAAAAAAGAU
rnacentral:lncRNA from 1 species